GAUGAACGCUGGCGGCGUGCCUAAUACAUGCAAGUCGAGCGAACAGACGAGGAGCUUGCUCCUCUGACGUUAGCGGCGGACGGGUGAGUAACACGUGGAUAACCUACCUAUAAGACUAGGAUAACUUCGGGAAACCGGAGCUAAUACCGGAUAAUAUAUUGAACCGCAUGGUUCAAUAGUGAAAGACGGUUUUGCUGUCACUUAUAGAUGGAUCCGCGCCGCAUUAGCUAGUUGGUAAGGUAACGGCUUACCAAGGCGACGAUGCGUAGCCGACCUGAGAGGGUGAUCCGCCACACUGGAACUGAGACACGGUCCAGACUCCUACGGGAGGCAGCAGUAGGGAAUCUUCCGCAAUGGGCGAAAGCCUGACGGAGCAACGCCGCGUGAGUGAUGAAGGUCUUCGGAUCGUAAAACUCUGUUAUUAGGGAAGAACAAAUGUGUAAGUAACUAUGCACGUCUUGACGGUACCUAAUCAGAAAGCCACGGCUAACUACGUG
rnacentral:rRNA from 1 species